rnacentral:rRNA from 1 species
AUUGAACGCUGGCGGCAUGCCUUACACAUGCAAGUCGAACGGCAGCACGGGAGCAAUCCUGGUGGCGAGUGGCGAACGGGUGAGUAAAGUAUCGGAACGUGCCCAGUCGUGGGGGAUAACGUAGCGAAAGUUACGCUAAUACCGCAUACGAUCUAUGGAUGAAAGCGGGGGAUCGCAAGACCUCGCGCGAUUGGAGCGGCCGAUAUCAGAUUAGGUAGUUGGUGGGGUAAAGGCUCACCAAGCCGACGAUCUGUAGCUGGUCUGAGAGGACGACCAGCCACACUGGGACUGGGACAGGGCCCGGAAUCCUCCGGAGGGCAGCAGUGGGGAAUUUUGGACAAUGGGGGCAAGCCUGAUCCAGCGAGGCCGCGUGCAGGAUGAAGGCCUUCGGGUUGUAAACUGCUUUUGUACGGAACGAAAAGGUUUGACUUAAUACGUUGGACUCAUGACGGUACCGUAAGAAUAAGCACCGGCUAACUACGUGCCAGCCGCCGCAGUAA